rnacentral:rRNA from 1 species
CAGUGAAAUCGAGUAGGACGGAGCACGAGAAACUUUGUCUGAAUAUGGGGGGACCAUCCUCCAAGGCUAAAUACUACUGACUGACCGAUAGUGAACUAGUACCGUGAGGGAAAGGCGAAAAGAACCCCGGAGAGGGGAGUGAAAUAGAUCCUGAAACCGUAUGCGUACAAGCAGUGGGAGCCCACUUUGUUGGGUGACUGCGUACCUUUUGUAUAAUGGGUCAGCGACUUAUUUUCAGUGGCAAGCUUAACCGAAUAGGGGAGGCGUAGCGAAAGCGAGUCUUAAUAGGGCGUCUAGUCGCUGGGAAUAGACCCGAAACCGGGCGAUCUAUCCAUGGGCAGGUUGAAGGUUGGGUAACACUAACUGGAGGACCGAACCGACUACCGUUGAAAAGUUAGCGGAUGACCUGUGGAUCGGAGUGAAAGGCUAAUCAAGCUCGGAGAUAGCUGGUUCUCCUCGAAAGCUAUUUAGGUAGCGCCUCAUGUAUCACUGUAGGGGGUAGAGCACUGUUUCGGCUAGGGGG